GUCAGGUAAAUUUGUCGAGAACCAGCUGCCGACACUGUUCCAUUCGGGUGCUGGCUUCUGUACAUGGUGAACCUUGGCGCAUCCUCUGCUGGAACCACUGCAUGCUGUCCGUGAGGCCUGCUCAUCACUCACAAUUCCAAAGUAAGAAAGAAAGCAGAAGCCAAAAAAAAUAAAAA